rnacentral:sRNA from 1 species
GUCUAGCCCUGAUAGUAGCGGCAUCCUUUGAUGGUGGGGUUCACCAUCAAAGAUACAGCGGAUAGCAGGAUUUAGC